UAACGGGAGAUAAAUAUCUCUGGGCCUAUCAAAGAUUUGAUACUGAGAAAUGCAUGGCCAUGCUCAAACGAGGUGCAUGUCAGUCAUUUGUUUAUCAGUAUAAAUCAGAGUUCGAUAAACAUGAUCUAGCUUAAUAAGGAUGACACUAGUUCUUGCCUUAUGCUGAGAUCGAGAUAUAAAGACAAAGGGAUUAUGAGAAUAGAUGAUUUCAGUACAAGUGGAAGAUUGUUGGGAAUGUCCUGAAAUCUAUUGUACUAACUCUAGUAGAAGUCGUAACGUCGAGGUUCGACUA
rnacentral:lncRNA from 1 species